UCUUCUUUGUGAUGGAAUCCUUGAUGAAGAAAUAAUUGGAAUGGAGUUCACAAAAUACAUCAUUGUCUCUAGUCAAUUGAUAUACAAGCAAUAAAUUUUUGGAAAUAAGAGGAACAUGAAGCAUAUCAUCGAGUGCUAAAGGAGUUUGAGUAGUAGGAAGAAGAGCAGAACCGGUGUGAUGAAUAGACAAACCAACUCAGUUACAUGUUAUUACCAACAUGUAACUGAGCUGUACCAUGACAAGCAACUUGAAGCUCAAGAUUUGCUAGAUCAGAAGUGAUGUGAUGUGUUGCAGCAGAGUCUGGAUACCAUCCUUGAUCAGCAGCAUAAAAGGGAUUGUUAGGUUGAACAAGAAGACCCUACAGUGAAGAGGAUGAACCAGUGCCUUGGCUUUCAUAGUGAUGCCAGCAGCUAGAGGCAGAAUGAUUUACUUUCCCAUAGAUUUGACAAGUUAUCCUAGGUUGCUCUGGGGCAUUUGAAUUGAAAUGAGGAGGGCGACAACCCGAACCCUGAUAUGUUCCACCUUUGUUGAAGGAUCGACGUCGGCCUCGACCACGAUAAAGUUUGGUUAGAUCGAUAAUCAGAACCCCGAGAGAAAACGCCUCUAUUGAAAGAAUUUGAACUAUCGGAAUUUGGAUGAUCUUUGUUGGAUGUGCGAGUGUGAGACAGAUUUGCAGACAAUGGUGCACUCUCAAUUUGGGGAAUAUUAACUUCUGUAAUCCGCAAUUUCAUACUGUACAGAUAACCAUAUAGGUCAUCGAGAAGAAUUGGAUCAUCUCGAGUGGAGAUUGCUGUAACCAGUGAUUCAUAAUCAGGACCCAAUCCUCCAAGAACGUAUAGAACAAGAUCAUCGGAAGAAAUUGGCUGACCUGCACCUGCUAGAUUGUCAGCAAGAGUCUUAAUCUUCUGUAAGUACUCUUCCAUAGAAAGGUUUUUCUUUUUGAUUGUCUGAAGUUGGAGAUGAAGUUGCAUAAAACAAGCCUUGGAUUGGGAGGAAAAUUGCCGCUCAAGGGUUUGCCCUUUGAGGAAGAUAAGCCAACAACAUGAACCAGAAUGGCCUCAGAGAGAAAAGACAAAAGCCAACUUAAGAUAAGGUGAUCUUGCUUGAUCCAGGAGGCAUAUGAAGGGUUUGUCGCCUCUGGACAUGGAAAAGAGCCAUCUACAUAGCCAAGAUGAUCGUGACCUCACAAUAAUGGCAGAAAUUGUGACUUCCAUAGUAGAUAAUUGUGCCAAUCAAGUUUAACUGACAGGAAAUGCUGAAAAUUUGAUGGAGAAGGGGUGAAAGAAAAAGGUGUUGAAGGUGAAGAUGGUUGCCCAGACAUGGCGUCUGAUACCAUGUUGAAGACUGUAAUUCUAAGUUUAAAACUCCAGUCCGAUUUCAUUAGUUGAGAUGAAUUAUAUACAAGAAGAGAGAGGGAUCGACACUCUCCUAUGUUUCAAGAUGUUGACCUCUAACUGUUAACCACCUAACUAAUCACAUAACUAACACAUAUUUUAGGUUUUAAGUUGACAUUGAGUUUGAAUCCUAAAUUGGUUUCUUGUGGCUUUCAUUUUCAAUUUCGUUUCUUUUUUUUUUUUUUUUUGGGUGUCUUUGUGCCGUGGUUGAUCUUUCUCUUGUGUUUUUCUGCUUUCAACUAGGGAUUUGGUCAAAGGAUUCUUACUAAUCAUACUUUUUUGUGAAAUUGGAGUCCUUUAACCCAACUUCUCUUUUACCCUGUACGUGAAGGAUAGCUAGAACUAAGCCACAUUAGUGGAAGCCACCAAAAGAAGUCUUUUCUUUCACUAAAAGGUGUCCAAUUUUGAUCUUUAGGUCCCUGAAAUAGAUGGAAUACAUAGACACAUAAUAGUUACACCUAUUAACUCUCUCAUGGCUACUUCUAUCAGAAAUCAUUAUCGAGAAACCAUUAUACUUGCUUCUUAUCUAACCAGACCACAUAGCAUUAUUACCAUCCUUAUGGUGGUUUCAACUGUGGACAUGAUGAGCUUGGAGUUAUCUGAGGUUGGGAUCAUAAUUUGGACAAUUUAGACCACAAUUGCAUCUUUUUAUCUUACUAGCACCUGGGGAAUGCUGAUGUCAUUGAGGUGGGAAACAGUAGGAUCUUGGUUUAUUAGGACGUGCAUCCGUAUGAUCAUUCCCUAUCAGUGCAAAGUGAAGGCUUUGUAUAUUGAAGUGUUUCUUUUCAGUUCUUGAGUUUAUAAAAUGACAUUGUAGAUAUAAAUUUUUAUCACCUCUUGUGUUUCCAUCUUGUUAUAAUCCUUGUCUGACCACUUAGGACAUUUCAGAUGUCCUUUUUCUUUCCCUUGUAGUUAUUGAACAUGAGAUUGCAUAUUUGCAUCUCUUCAGUUAGAGGAGAAGAUAUUAGUGAUAGAGAUCAAGAACACUGCUAAGACUGGCAAUGAGGUGAGUUAAUCUGUUCGUGGACCACAAACUUGAUACAGCAUCAGUCCAAUCAAUCAUUGUUCAUCUUUUGCCUAAAGAGUGACAAUUUAGAAAAUUGUUCGUGCUGAAUCACUUCCUAUUGAUCUACUUCAACUCGAAUUAUCUGCAUCCAAAGACUUAAAAUGCUCAAUGGAGGAUUUAAAAUCAGACAAACAUUAAAUUUUGAACAAUUAUCUACUUUCUAUUUGGAUGGAGUUAAAAGAAUUUAUGUUGUAUCAGUUGAUCAAUCUAACCAGUUGGUUGUAAUUAAUUACAAAUUUUUCUCUUGGGCAAUUACGGCCCCCUCCCCUAUACUAUGUAUGGCCUUAUUACGUAUAUACACGUGUUUUCAGAAAUUACACCCCUUCCCCUAAGACUGACGGUGUCAGUCUAGUAUUAGUUUUGAAAUGUAAAAGACCAUUUUACCCUUAAACAAAACAUCCUAAACCAAUAUGGAUCAUAGUCAUCUAGCUCAUAAUGACUAUCUGCUUCAUUACCAUGGCCACUCUCUUAAACCCUGUCACAAUAUCAGAAAAUUCAGCAUCAAUUUCACUCUCAUUUAAGUCACCAUGGUCAUCAGAAUGAUACACAACGUCCUCAUCACUAGCAUCUGAAUCAUCAACUGAUAUAAUGUCACACAUGUCACUUUAAUUUCCUCCCUUGCUUAUUGCACCCUUACCAGUAUCUCUAGCUUCCUUAUUUGCUUCACCCUUACCAGGCUUGCUAGCUCCCUUGUUUCAACACUGUUGGUGAACUGCCCUGAGAGUUGUCACUUGCACAGGCAGUUGAUUGAAACCUACUCCUAGCAGUUGCAUUAUGUGAAUUACCCUCAGAAUGUCCUAGCAGUUACACCAUCAGUUCCUCCACUAGCCCUUCCAGUAGACAUAGUCCUAGCCCUUGCAUUGGGUACAUUGUUUGCAUUUCCAGUGGCACUUGAAUUGCCGAUAGCCCUUGAAGAUGUUGUAUUCCCGCUAGCCUUUCUAUCAGCAAAAGCAUUACUACGAGCCAUACACUAAAACCACCUCUUCUGACUGUGUGCUUUGCCAUAUUGGUUCCCAUUGACUGGCCUCCAUAAUUACCACCAUCCAUUGCUGAACAAUCAUCAUAUGCAGUGUUGUCUCUGGUAACAACUUCUUUGGAGUGUAAAUUGAUGGUAUAUUUAGAAGCUUCCUCAUCAGUCCAUUGAAGAUUAGACAUAGUCACUCUUAUUAAAUCUAUAUGUGAAUUCGAAAAAAAAACAAUCCAUACAUAGAGUUAUCAUCUUCCAAAACUACCUCUUCAUUGUUUGGGAGUGUAGAUUUCAGUUUGAAAGUAAUUGAAUGGCCUGUUGGGACAUGAUCAAUUAUUGUGUUGUAGACUUCACAUAAUAUCCAAAUAGUUGUACCUAUCUAAGUCUACAAUCUUCUGUGCAUAUCUAUCCCGCCAAUUAAACUCAACUUUACAUCUCAAGUCCAUUGCUAUACAAGUGACAACGAACAAAUGAUUGGAUGCAUUACAAAUAUAGAUGAUACAAAAUCAAACUUAGAAUACAUCAUACAUUUUCUGGUGGCCAUUAAACGCAAUGUCUUGUAUGUUAGCAUACUGAAAUCAUGCAGAAGAUUGUUACUUAUUGUUUUUGAGUCUCUGCAAAUUGUUUCAAGGUGUAUUUUGUUACUUACUGAAGCCCCAAGCCAAUAACUACAUGUAUUGAUUCUUUAGCUUAGAGAAGAUUGUUUGCUUGAAUUGCUUCAAUUGAAAUCCAGAAUCUAUGCAGCAUGUAAAGGAUGCUCAAUGGGACUAAAUUAAAAGAAUUUCAUCUAAUUCCACUAGCAGUGAUGCAAUAAUCCAUGUUUUAUAUAGAAGAAUACCAUUUGUAGGGACUGAGAAAAAAAAAAUAAAAAAUAAAAAAUUUCCAUCCCUACAAACACCACUCCGUCAAUGGGUUGCUGUCUUUGUAGGUCCAUUCUGAUUUCUAGUCUCAGCAAUGCAGAUUUAGUAAGAGGUCUACCUUGAAACAGCUCAGUUUUGACUACCAUGGCUUGAGUACUUUGACAGCUCGGAAUGUAAGUUGAUAAUAGAUUUUAGUAGUGUUUCACUUUGUCAAUGAAGGAAAGUUUUUUGGAGUCACUGAAGAGUUUGUAUCAGUCACACAUGACUCUGGGUCUGUUGUACUCAAAGUUCAUUCACUGGAAUGUGAAACCCAGUUAUAGUCAAGAAUUCCUAAAAAUCUAAUUUAGAUCCACCACCCCACAAAGGAAGUAGGGAGAAGGAAGAAGAGUUGGAAAUCCCCUAAUUUAUAUGCUCUGUUCAUCCUAAUUUUUAUCCUUUAAAACCCUAAAAAAGUGAUUCAUGCCACCCCCACAAAGGAAAUAGGAAGAAGGAAGAAGAGGUGGAGACCCCCACAAAGGAAAUAGGCUGAAGGAAGAAGAGGUGGAAAUCCCCUAAUUUAUAUGCUCUGUUCAUCCUAAUUUAUAUCUCUUGAAAGCCUUAAAAAGUGAUUCAUACCACCCCCACAAAGGAAAUAGGAAGAAGGAAGAAGAGGUGGAGAUCCCCUAAUUUAUAUGCUAUGUUCAUCCUAAUUUAUGUCCCUUAAAACCAUAAAAAAGUGAUUUAUACCAAAGAACACAAAAAAAAAAAAGGAGAUACUUGCCGUUGAAGCCAAUAGUUGUUCAGUUGUAGCUUCAACCGAAGCUUUGGUGCCUUGAUAGAGUGGAGAAGUUUGCUGGCGCAAGGACUUCACAAAGUGUGGAGCUUCGUCGAGGCUGCGGUGCUCUCUACUAUUCUCUGUUGUGUGGUGUUUGAUGUUGCUCUCUGAUCUUCUCAACUUCGUUGGAAUCGUUCCAAGUUAGCUGAAGCAGGUUGAAAAGAAUGAAGCAAGUUGAACGAAAUUCAGCUCUUUUUAGUUGUUUUCGAAUGGAAGGGUAUAUACGUAAGUUGAUGUGCAUAUAGGCAUUUUUGGUACUAGAAUGUAUGAUAUUAGGUGACGUCACCAACUAACAGUCCCAAUUUCACGGAGACUAAUGGAUUGGACCAAAUUGUAAGAAUCUUAGAAAAUACAAGGGAGGGGCGUAAUUUUCCCUUGUUUUAUUGUUUGGAGAGCUAUGACGAAUUCAACCCCUAGAGUUCCUUGGUGUAAGAUGGUUUGAUUUAACUUCAAUAUUCCUAGACAUUGUUUUAUUGUUUGGAGAGCUAUUACCAAUUCACUUCCUACUCAGGAGUUUCUCCUUCAGAGAAAUUUGUUUAUUCGUAUUUGUUCCCUUUGUUGGAACUCCUUGGAAAGUGUUGACCACAUUUUUCUUUUCCUGUCAUUUUUCCAAAUAUGUUUGGAAAGACAUUCUUAUAAAGUGUUGGUCCUAUCCUAGAGUGAUUAUUUUGUCAUAGAAUAGAGUGGAUCUUGAAAAAAAAAAUGAAUGGAAAAUCUCCUUGUGACAUCAUUGAUAAGUUGGCUUUUGGUGCUGCAAUUUAUCAUGUUUGGUGGAAAAGGAAUAAAAGAAGAUGGUCUUUCCAUCAUUUUUUGAGCUCAGAAACUUAAGAAAUAGGCAUCUUGGCUAUUCUUGGGAUCUUCCUCUCGUUUUCCCCUGGCUUUUGAUUUAUCAUCCUUUUGAUUUUGUUUCUUCCCCGUCAGGGUUUUUGGGUGUAUCAACCUUUUGAUUUUGUUUCUUCUCCCCUGGUUUUUUAUGUAUCCUCCUCUUUGUUGGUUGCUACUUCCCCUCCCCAUGUUUGUUGUAUCUCUAUUUAAUGCUUGUUUUGUUUCUUUAGUCUAGGGUCUGCCCCUUGGCUAGCCAUCUUGGCAGAUGUGUUGUAUAUACAAAUAAGACAUUUGAGGGUCCUAUUUUAGUAGAGUAUCUCUAAACUUGGAUUUCAUUCACAUAACAAAAUCCAUUAUUGGAGUGGAGUGACAUCUAUUUGUCACUGGAUUGUCCACAAUUAGUUUCAAUGGAUGUGCUCAUAAUACAGAAACCACUUGUGCAAGUUUCCAGCAGGCUUAAUUUGGAUCACUAACAUUUCUGUUUAACAAUCGACUAAAAAAAGUGUCUACAAAGAAAUUUUCGAUGGAUGAGCUCAUAAUACAGAAACCACUUGUAUGUUUAACAGAAAACUGUGAUCAUCCUUACUAGUGUUUCAUCCAUAAUUGCAAGGUCUUAGCACCCAUUUGGCCAUCUUUGCUGACAUGGGAUUCAAAUUGUAAUUGAUUGAGACUGACCCUAAACCCAAUUCCGAGUUUCUAAACCUCGGCAGCAUUACAUUGCUGCUAAUUGAAGGGAUUGGAUAUUAUUGCUGUUAAAAUUGAUGGAUGAUUUAUAUCUUAGAUGGUUCAAAACUAAGGACCGAAUUAUUGUCGUAUCGUGCAAUAUUAGGAAUGGUGAUUCUAAACUCAAGCGUGGAUAUACAUAUAUUUGUUUAUUGAACUGGAUCAUCUGAGAAUACUUCUUUUUUUUUUUUUUCUGAUGAUUCAGUUCUCAGUUGUAUAAUGAACAAGAUUUUGAAUAUUGCAAUUCAUGCCCAGACUUGGGAGGUCCUUAUUCUUCAUGUUAGGUAUUAUGGGUUUUGAAGUUCUAUUGGUUGACGUUGGCAAGUUAGAUAUCAGUGCAUAGGCUCAUGGUAUUUACUUGUGAAUAAAAGGUAUGCUCAAUAAGAACCACUUCUUAUAGUUUCCAAAGUGUUAAAAAAAUAUGCUUUUGAAGUGUUUCAGAAAUUGUUUUUCUGUCCAAUCAGUUGAUGAGAUUCGUUGUUUAUGUCAUUUUGAUGCACUAAGAUGGUGACAGGACAAAAUCCUACAUGGUUCAAUCUUCUUCCUGCCAUUGUUUCCAUAUAGGAGACCAUCAUUGUCAAUGAUAAAUUCACAAACUUCUUCCCGGUGCUCGGUUAUGAUGGCAGGAUAAAUGUCUUCCACCACAAUACACAGAUAGAACCUGCAUCUCUAUCUGGAACCCAACUUCGGAAGGCCAACCACCGUGAUGGAGAGCUUUAAGAAGGUCAAGCGCGCACUACGGAUUGGCACCGCUGCUUUUCUGCCUGUGUGACUGCAACAGUUGGCUCCUCUGCUAUCUCUCUGUUCAAUCGUUAGAAUGGUAGCAAUAUUUUACAGCUUCAUUCAAAAGCAUUCGCUGAAGUGGUGGUGGGAGAGUGAUGUUUUGCCUCUUUCUUAAGCGGCUCUUGGUCAUUCAGUUCACCAAACCUGAACCCUUCCACCAAGAAGACAAUUGGAGAUGCCAGUGUGAUCACGUAGCUACCAGUCACAAUGGGAAAGUGAUGGAGGUUACGGACGGGAGUGGAGAAGUGAUGGUGGGAGAAUUUGUGUUCUGGUGGUUGUUCUAUUUUCUCUUUACUCAUAUUGAUCACAAUAUAUACCCACUCGCAUCGAACCAUGUUCCAAUUUUGCCAUUUGCUUUACUUCAAAAAUUAUGAUAAUGCCUUAUAAUUUGUAUCAAAGUUCAAAUUAGGCCA